UGGCCUACCAAGGCGGCGACGGGUAGCCGGCCUGAGAGGGUGACCGGCCACAUUGGGACUGAGAUACGGCCCAGACUCCUACGGGAGGCAGCAGUGGGGAAUAUUGCACAAUGGGCGCAAGCCUGAUGCAGCAACGCCGCGUGCGGGAUGACGGCCUUCGGGUUGUAAACCGCUUUCAGCAGGGACGAAGCUUUUUGUGACGGUACCUGCAGAAGAAGCACCGGCUAACUACGUGCCAGCAGCCGCGGUGAUACGUAGGGUGCGAGCGUUGUCCGGAUUUAUUGGGCGUAAAGGGCUCGUAGGCGGUUGAUCGCGUCGGAAGUGGAAACUUGAUGCUUAACGUUGAGCGUGCUUUCGAUACGGGUUGACUUGAGGAAGGUAGGGGAGAAUGGAAUUCCUGGUGGAGCGGUGGAAUGCGCAGAUAUCAGGAGGAACACCAGUGGCGAAGGCGGUUCUCUGGACCUUUCCUGACGCUGAGGAGCGAAAGCGUGGGGAGCGAACAGGCUUAGAUACCCUGGUAGUCCACGCUGUAAACGGUGGGUACUAGGUGUGGGGUCCAUUCCACGGAUUCUGUGCCGUAGCUAACGCAUUAAGUACCCCGCCUGGGGAGUACGGCCGCAAGGCUAAAACUCAAAGGAAUUGACGGGGCCCCGCACAA
rnacentral:rRNA from 1 species